CAGUCGACGGAAGGCCCAGCUUGCUGGGUACUCGAGUGGCGAACGGGUGAGUAACACGUGGGUGAUCUGCCCUGCACUCUGGGAUAAGCCUGGGAAACUGGGUCUAAUACCGGAUAUGACCAACUGUCGCAUGGUGGUUGGUGGAAAGCUUUUGCGGUGUGGGAUGGGCCCGCGGCCUAUCAGCUUGUUGGUGGGGUAAUGGCCUACCAAGGCGACGACGGGUAGCCGACCUGAGAGGGUGAUCGGCCACACUGGGACUGAGACACGGCCCAGACUCCUACGGGAGGCAGCAGUGGGGAAUAUUGCACAAUGGGCGCAAGCCUGAUGCAGCGACGCCGCGUGAGGGAUGACGGCCUUCGGGUUGUAAACCUCUUUCACCAGGGACGAAGCGUGAGUGACGGUACCUGGAGAAGAAGCACCGGCCAACUACGUGCCAGCAGCCGCGGUAAUACGUAGGGUGCGAGCGUUGUCCGGAAUUACUGGGCGUAAAGAGCUCGUAGGCGGUUUGUCGCGUCGUCUGUGAAAUUCUGCAACUCAAUUGCAGGCGUGCAGGCGAUACGGGCAGACUUGAGUACUACAGGGGAGACUGGAAUUCCUGGUGUAGCGGUGAAAUGCGCAGAUAUCAGGAGGAACACCGGUGGCGAAGGCGGGUCUCUGGGUAGUAACUGACGCUGAGGAGCGAAAGCGUGGGUAGCGAACAGGAUUAGAUACCCUGGUAGUCCACGCCGUAAACGGUGGGUACUAGGUGUGGGUUCCUUUUCACGGGAUCCGUGCCGUAGCUAACGCAUUAAGUACCCCGCCUGGGGAGUACGGCCGCAAGGCU
rnacentral:rRNA from 1 species